AUGGCGGCCUCGAGUCCGGAGUGGUCGAGCCUCCUGCCGGAUAUCCUGGGCCAGGUGAUCGCCCGCCUCCCACACAUCGCCGACCGCGCCCGCUUCCGUGCCGUGUGCCGCUCGUGGCGCUCCGCCUUGCGCCUGCGAGACUCCCAUCGGCGAGGGCUUCCGUGGGUUGUCCUUAACGACGGCGCCUACCUGACGCCCUCGGACAGCGGAAUCCAUCGCCUCCCACUUCCCGUGAACACAAGAUGCAUCGGCUCCACCAAUGACUGGAUCGUGCUCGACCGCAUGGACGGUGUUACGCAAAAGCAUACAUACGCAUUGCACAACCACUUCCUCGAUGUCGCGGUGCCGUUGCCGGAGCUGAACUCCAUAAUUGGGAAUCUUCCUGAGAAGUUUGAGAUCCGGAAGGUUCUCAUGCGGUCGACACCCGACGAUCUCGUUGCGGUUACAAGCAACAUCUGCAGGUACCCUUUCAUCUUGUGCCGACCUGGUAAGGGAGCGUGGGUGGCGGAGCCAUUAGCUAUGCCGUACUUUCGUAUCGUCGAUUUUGCGUUCCUCGGAGAUAUGCUCUACGUGAUCACCAAGGCCGAGAGCCUCUACGCCAUCCACCUCACCGAACACGAUGAUGGCAAGCCCGAUGUCUCCUUUGUCGAACGGAUCACCAGGCACACCCCUUACCCUAAUGGUGAUAGGUACAAUAAUGACAUGUGGAUGGGUACAAGUGACAACGAUGCAAGCCCCCGAUGA
rnacentral:rRNA from 1 species